CCUACGGGAGGCAGCAGUGGGGAAUAUUGGACAAUGGGGGGAACCCUGAUCCAGCCAUGCCGCGUGUGUGAAGAAGGCCCUCGGGUUGUAAAGCACUUUCAGUGAGGAAGAACGCCUGGUGGUUAAUACCCAUCAGGAAAGACAUCACUCACAGAAGAAGCACCGGCUAACUCCGUGCCAGCAGCCGCGGUAAUACGGAGGGUGCGAGCGUUAAUCGGAAUUACUGGGCGUAAAGCGCGCGUAGGUGGCUUGAUAAGCCGGUUGUGAAAGCCCCGGGCUCAACCUGGGAACGGCAUCCGGAACUGUCAAGCUAGAGUGCAGGAGAGGAAGGUAGAAUUCCCGGUGUAGCGGUGAAAUGCGUAGAGAUCGGGAGGAAUACCAGUGGCGAAGGCGGCCUUCUGGACUGACACUGACACUGAGGUGCGAAAGCGUGGGUAGCAAACAGGAUUAGAUACCCUGGUACUC
rnacentral:rRNA from 1 species